ensembl:lncRNA
GUAAUUUUUACUUAGUAUUGAUUAAGUGCUUUGAUAAGCACUGUACUAGAGUUAAACUUAUCAUUCAGAACUAUACUAUGGGUUCCAAAAUCAGGUACUAAUGGGACUUACUGAGAUACAGAAGAUGCAUCCUUAGCUGCUCUGCACUUUUAUUCAUGAGGUGAAGCAGAGCAGCCAGGGAGGUUCUUAUGAAAGAGACAUUUUAGAUUUCCCAGGUUAGAAGAAAAUCCUGCAGCAGCCAUGAUUAUAUAUACGUCCUUUCCCUCUAUGCAAUCAUGGGAUUUGUGUCCUGCAGAUAGUGACAUCACUGUGCACCACCAGUUGGGAUUCCUGUGAGCUGGCUCUGCUCCUAGAAGUGGUAAUACCACCACUCUAAGGCAACAAUAAAGCCUGCUUAAAGCGACCUCUGCUUUAACCACUAGAUCUUCAUCGAGGCAGAGAGGGGCUGACGGUGUUUCAGAAGUGAGAAGCUUUCCAUGCUGGCACUGUGAGCAGCCUUUGACCGAGGGGUGAGAGCCUCACCAUCCUGCACACGGAGUCCCAAGCAGACUUAGAUUCCCUCCCAGCUGACAUCAAUGGUGGAACUUCUACGGGCUCAGUAAGGACAACUGCAACUGUAAACAACAAAAACAGAAAUGAGUUUUUUGCUCCGCGGUAUGAAGCCAUUUUUAUAGAUUUCCAGAAUCAGCAG